GCUUAACACAUGCAAGUCGAGGGGCAGCAUUUCAGUUUGCUUGCAAACUGGAGAUGGCGACCGGCGCACGGGUGAGUAACACGUAUCCAACCUGCCGAUAACUCGGGGAUAGCCUUUCGAAAGAAAGAUUAAUACCCGAUGGUAUAAUCAGACCGCAUGGUCUUGUUAUUAAAGAAUUUCGGUUAUCGAUGGGGAUGCGUUCCAUUAGGCAGUUGGUGAGGUAACGGCUCACCAAACCUUCGAUGGAUAGGGGUUCUGAGAGGAAGGUCCCCCACAUUGGAACUGAGACACGGUCCAAACUCCUACGGGAGGCAGCAGUGAGGAAUAUUGGUCAAUGGGCGCAGGCCUGAACCAGCCAAGUAGCGUGAAGGAUGACUGCGCUAUGGGUUGUAAACUUCUUGUAUAUGGGAAUAAAGUUUUCCACGUGUGGAAUUUUGUAUGUACCAUAUGAAUAAGGAUCGGCUAACUCCGUGCCAGCAGCCGCGGUAAUACGGAGGAUCCGAGCGUUAUCCGGAUUUAUUGGGUUUAAAGGGAGCGUAGGUGGACAGUUAAGUCAGUUGUGAAAGUUUGCGGCUCAACCGUAAAAUUGCAGUUGAUACUGGCUGUCUUGAGUACAGUAGAGGUGGGCGGAAUUCGUGGUGUAGCGGUGAAAUGCUUAGAUAUCACGAAGAACUCCGAUUGCGAAGGCAGCUCACUGGACUGCAACUGACACUGAUGCUCGAAAGUGUGGGUAUCAAACAGGAUUAGAUACCCUGGUAGUCCACACAGUAAACGAUGAAUACUCGCUGUUUGCGAUAUACAGUAAGCGGCCAAGCGAAAGCAUUAAGUAUUCCACCUGGGGAGUACGCCGGCAACGGUGAAACUCAAAGGAAUUGACGGGGGCCCGCACAAGCGGAGGAACAUGUGGUUUAAUUCGAUGAUACGCGAGGAACCUUACCCGGGCUUAAAUUGCAUUUGAAUAUAUUGGAAACAGUAUAGCCGUAAGGCAAAUGUGAAGGUGCUGCAUGGUUGUCGUCAGCUCGUGCCGUGAGGUGUCGGCUUAAGUGCCAUAACGAGCGCAACCCUUAUCUUUAGUUACUAACAGGUCAUGCUGAGGACUCUAGAGAGACUGCCGUCGUAAGAUGUGAGGAAGGUGGGGAUGACGUCAAAUCAGCACGGCCCUUACGUCCGGGGCUACACACGUGUUACAAUGGGGGGUACAGAAGGCAGCUACCUGGUGACAGGAUGCUAAUCCCAAAAGCCUCUCUCAGUUCGGAUCGAAGUCUGCAACCCGACUUCGUGAAGCUGGAUUCGCUAGUAAUCGCGCAUCAGCCAUGGCGCGGUGAAUACGUUCCCGGGCCUUGUACACACCGCCCGUCAAGCCAUGAAAGCCGGGGGUACCUGAAGUACGUAACCGCAAGGAGCGUCCUAGGGUAAAACUGGUAAUUGGGGCUAAGUCAUAAC
rnacentral:rRNA from 1 species